rnacentral:rRNA from 1 species
UACGGGGGGGGCAAGCGUUGUUCGGAAUUACUGGGCGUAAAGGGCUUGUAGGUGGCCAACUAAGUCAGACGUGAAAUCCCACGGCUUAACCGAGGAACUGCGUCUGAUACUGGAUGGCUUGAGUGUGGGAGAGGGAUGCGGAAUUCCAGGUGUAGCGGUGAAAUGCGUAGAUAUCGGAGGAAGAACACGGCGAGGCGAGC